GAUGAACGCUGACAGAAUGCUUAACACAUGCCAGUCAACUUGAACUUCGGUUUGGGUGGCGGACGGGUGAGUAACGCGUAAAGAACUUGCCUCACAGAUAGGGACAACAUUUGGAAACGAAUGCUAAUACCUGAUAUUAUGAUUAUAUGGCAUCGUAUAAUUAUGAAAGCUAUAUGCGCUGUGAGAGAGCUUUGCGUCCCAUUAGCUAGUUGGAGAGGUAACGGCUCACCAAGGCGAUGAUGGGUAGCCGGCCUGAGAGGGUGAUCGGCCACAAGGGGAGUAAAAACGGCCCCUAACCCUUCGGGGAGCAAGAGGGGGGGAAUUUUGAAAAAGGGACAAAGGUUUUGAUCCAGAAUUUCGGUGUGAAGAAAAAAUUUUUUGGGAAGAAAAAGUGUUUUAAUUGGAAAAAAAAAAAAGGAGGGAACAAAAAAAAGAAGGGAGGACAAAAUACGUC
rnacentral:rRNA from 1 species